UACGUAGGGUGCGAGCGUUAAUCGGAAUUACUGGGCGUAAAGCGUGCGCAGGCGGUUUUGUAAGCCAGGGGUGAAAUCCCCGGGCUCAACCUGGGAAUGGCAUUUGGGACUGCAAGGCUGGAGUGCGGCAGAGGAGACUGGAAUUCCUGGUGUAGCAGUGAAAUGCGUAGAUAUCAGGAGGAACACCGAUGGCGAAGGCAGGUCUCUGGGCUGACACUAACGCUCAUGCACGAAAGCGUGGGGAGCAAACAGG
rnacentral:rRNA from 1 species